rnacentral:rRNA from 1 species
AGAGUUUGAUCAUGGCUCAGAGUGAACGCUGGCGGCGUGCUUAACACAUGCAAGUCGAACGCGAAAGGGUAGCAAUAUCCGAGUAGAGUGGCGAACGGGUGAGUAAUGUGUGGGUAAUCUGCCUUCGAGAGGGGGAUAACCUGGCGAAAGCCGGGCUAAUACCCCAUGAUGUUGCUUGGUCUUCGGAUCGAGUAAUCAAAGGAUGGCCUCUAUUUAUAAGCUAUCGCUCGAAGAUGAGCUCACAUCCUAUCACGCUUGUUGGUGAGGUAAAGGCUCACCAAGGCGACGACGGGUAGCCGGCCUGAGAGGGUGUCCGGCCACACUGGAACUGAGACACGGUCCAGACUCCUACGGGAGGCAGCAGUGGGGAAUUUUUCGCAAUGGGCGCAAGCCUGACGAAGCAACGCCGCGUGGAGGAUGAAGGCCCUAGUGGUCGUAAACUCCUGUCUAGUGGGACGAAAUUCAGUCGGGUGAACAAUCCGGCAGAUUGACUGUACUACUGGAGGAAGCUCCGGCCAACUCCGUGCCAGCAGCCGCGGUAAUACGGAGGGAGCAAGCGUUACUCGGAAUUAUUGGGCGUAAAGGGCGCGUAGGCGAUUUAACAAGUCUUGUGUGAAAGCCCCGGGCUUAACCCGGGAAGUGCACAAGAAACUGUUGAAUUUGAGUUCCGGAGAGGAAGGCAGAAUUCCCGGUGUAGCGGUGAAAUGCGUAGAUAUCGGGAGGAAUACCAGUGGCGAAGGCGGCCUUCUGGACGGAUACUGACGCUGAGGCGCGAAAGCCAGGGGAGCAAACGGGAUUAGAUACCCCGGUAGUCC